rnacentral:rRNA from 1 species
UACGGAGGAUCCAAGCGUUAUCCGGAUUUAUUGGGUUUAAAGGGUGCGUAGGCGGCCUAUUAAGUCAGGGGUGAAAGACGGUGGCUCAACCAUCGCAGUGCCUUUGAUACUGAUAGGCUUGAAUACACUAGAGGUAGGCGGAAUGUGACAAGUAGCGGUGAAAUGCAUAGAUAUGUCACAGAACACCGAUUGCGAAGGCAGCUUACUAUGGUGUCAUUGACGCUGAGGCACGAAAGCGUGGGGAGCGAACAGG